GGGUUAUUCUAGAGGGAAAGAAGAGGAUGAGAGAAUAUUACUACCUGACGGAGAGCCCAAUGCGAGGUGGAGCUUCAGGAGCCAGGAGGAGCUCAGAGCGAGGUGGAGCUCCAGGUGGAGGUGGAUUGAAUACAAAAUGCGAGACUCGGGAGGAUAAGAGGCGAUAUCGCAGAGUGAGAUUCCUAUUGCCGCAAGAUGAUACCCUGAGC
rnacentral:lncRNA from 1 species